AUCGCACGACACCAGCUGUAGGGAUUGGUUGAGGAGGCGACGUCGGAUCAACCUGGUGAUGAUUCUUCCCUAAGCAGAGCUUGAUCUUCUCCAUUCCUUGCAGUUGAUUGAAGCCUCGAGUGAAGAAGUAGAGGCUUGAUGGAGUGUUCUUUGUAGCUUCCGGACAGUGAAGGAAAGGCUGCUAACUACUGGAUUGCUGCCCUACGUCAAGGACUUGGAUUCGGGACGAGUGUCUCGACGCGGGAUUAUUUGACACGAUCGACAGAUAA